rnacentral:rRNA from 1 species
GGACUACCGGGGUAUCUAAUCCCGUUCGCUACCCUGGCUUUCGUGCCUCAGCGUCAGAAAAGACCCAGUGAGCCGCUUUCGCCACCGGUGUUCCUUAGGAUAUCAACGCAUUUCACCGCUCCACCCUAAGUUCCGCUCACCUCUGUCUUCCUCGAGCACAGUAGUUUUGGGCGCAGUUCCUCGGUUAAGCCGAGGUAUUUCACACCCAACUUUCUGCACAGCCUACGCACCCUUUAAGCCCAGUAAUUCCGAAUAACGUUAGUGUGGCUCGUCUUACCGCGGCUGCUGGCAC